UACGGAGGGUGCAAGCGUUAUCCGGAUUUACUGGGUUUAAAGGGUGUGUAGGCGGACUUUUAAGUCAGCGGUGAAAUCUCCGGGCUCAACCCGGAAACUGCCAUUGAUACUAUUGGUCUUGAAUGUUGUUGAGGUGGGCGGAACGGGUCAUGUAGCGGUGAAAUGCAUAGAUAUGACCCGGAACACCGAUGCGAAGGCAGCCCACGUAAGCAAUGAUUGACGCUGAGGCACGAAAGCGUGGGGAU
rnacentral:rRNA from 1 species